GAUCAUGGCUCAGGAUGAACGCUAGCUACAGGCUUAACACAUGCAAGUCGAGGGGCAGCAUGAACUUAGCUUGCUAAGUUUGAUGGCGACCGGCGCACGGGUGAGUAACACGUAUCCAACCUGCCGAUGACUCGGGGAUAACCCUUCGAAAGAAAGAUUAAUACCCGAUGGCAUAGUUCUUCCGCAUGGUAGAACUAUUAAAGAACUUCGGUCAUCGAUGGGGAUGCGUUCCAUUAGGUUG
rnacentral:rRNA from 1 species